UGAAUUGACGGGGGCCCGCACAAGCGGAGGAGCAUGUGGUUUAAUUCGAUGAUACGCGAGGAACCUUACCUGGGCUCGAACGUAAGAUGACUGUAGGUGAAAGCUUACAUCUCUUCGGAGCAUUUUACGAGGUGCUGCAUGGUUGUCGUCAGCUCGUGCCGUGAGGUGUCGGGUUAAGUCCCAUAACGAGCGCAACCCCUACCUUUAGUUGCCAUCAGGUUAAGCUGGGGACUCUAAAGGAACUGCCUACGCAAGUAGUGAGGAAGGCGGGGAUGACGUCAAAUCAGCACGGCCCUUACGUCCAGGGCUACACACGUGCUACAAUGGCCGAUACAGAGGGCAGCUACCUGGUGACAGGAUGCAAAUCUCCAAAGUCGGUCUCAGUUCGGAUCGGAGUCUGCAACCCGACUCCGUGAAGUUGGAUUCGCUAGUAAUCGCGCAUCAGCCAUGGCGCGGUGAAUACGUUCCCGGGCCUU
rnacentral:rRNA from 1 species